CUCUCUGUCUUUAAGGAUAUUCUCUCAAGUGUUACACGUGCGUGCCUGAUUGGACGGGUUCCUGUAAAUUAAAAGAGGAGACAUGUCCAGUUGGAUGUUCUGCAUGUUCAACAUGUACAGCGAGUCUAUCAUAUGCAGGUUCCAGUAAAAUGAACUUCACAAUUAAAGGGUGUGCAAGUCAAUGUGAAAGUGCGACUGCAGAGACGCCAGAUGGUCUGAAAGUGUCUCUCCGCUGCUGUAAGAGUGACCUUUGCAAUGCAGCAGAUGGAGUGUAUAAGGGAAGCUUCCUCCUGCUCUUCUCUCCUCUGCCCUUCUACUUCCUGUUUCAGUGAGUCCAGAUUCUGCACUUCAGAUUCUACAGUGAAGACCAGCGCAAAAACACAUUCUUUCAUACACAGAAAAUGAGAUACUUUGUGAAAGUAUAAGAUUGCAUAAGAGCGUAUAAACACAUCAAUAAAUCAUGAAAAUGUGAUUGUGGUUGUUCAACUAAUACGUUAACCAAUCAAAUGUCUGAAAUUCUUAGAAGCAAUAUGACUGUAUGUCAUGAUUUUUCUGUUUUGGUUUUGGUCUUUUAUUUUUCUUUCUCUUUGUUUCUUGUCUGCUGAGUUUGUAAAUGAUUCAUUUCCAUUGUAAAAAUCAUUAGUUAUUGAAUCAAAAACUUACUUUAGCUGUACAAUAACUUUUUAUAUAUAUAUAGCUGCUGUACAGCUAAAACAAUCUCUGUUUCAGUAAUUUCUUAUUAUCACUGUAAAGCUGCUUUGAAACAAUCUGUAUUGUAAAAAGCGCUUUAUAAAUGAAGGUGACUAAACUUCUUUUGUUCCCCCUG